rnacentral:rRNA from 1 species
GUGGAUUAGAUACCCUGGUAGUCCACGCUGUAAACGAUGUCGAUUUGGAGGUUGUGCCCUUGAGGCGUGGCUUCCGGAGCUAACGCGUUAAAUCGACCGCCUGGGGAGUACGGCCGCAAGGUUAAAACUCAAAUGAAUUGACGGGGGCCCGCACAAGCGGUGGAGCAUGUGGUUUAAUUCGAUGCAACGCGAAGAACCUUACCUACUCUUGACAUCCAGAGAAUUUGCUAGAGAUAGCUUAGUGCCUUCGGGAACUCUGAGACAGGUGCUGCACGGUUGUCGUCAGCU